ACCCCCAGCGCUCUUCCACACCACGCUCCACCAGAGCACGAUCUCUGAUAUUCUUCCAUUCCAAUCCUUCUUCAAUAAGAACCCUCUUGUACGACCUUCAUCUUCUGAUUCCUUUUCCUUUUUUUCCUUAAUCGAUUCGUGAUCUGUAAUUAGGAUAGUGCUUAGUCCGUUAAGUUGGCAGUACGCCUGUUGCAGAUAGCAUAGGCCGUACAAGCGGUACAAACGGUACGAACGGUACGAUCCGCAACCAAGGUAGUGCCUGGUUAACCGGUCGUACGCCCGUUACAACCACUGCUCAAGAAUCCAAUAUUGAUGAUCCAAUGUCCACUGAAAUAGCUUGGACUCAUAUGAAUAGAGGAGGCUUGUGUAGAGCUAUUCUAUGAGAAUAACCACUUCUCUGUAAUCCUCACCCCGGGACAAUUCUCAUUGAUC
rnacentral:sRNA from 2 species